rnacentral:rRNA from 1 species
CCUACGGGGGGCUGCAGUGGGGAAUAUUGCACAAUGGGCGAAAGCCUGAUGCAGCAACGCCGCGUGAGUGAUGAAGGCCUUCGGGUUGUAAAGCUCUGUCUUUUGGGACGAUAAUGACGGUACCAAAGGAGGAAGCCACGGCUAACUACGUGCCAGCAGCCGCGGUAAUACGUAGGUGGCGAGCGUUGUCCGGAUUUACUGGGCGUAAAGGAUGCGUAGGCGGAUAUUUAAGUGAGAUGUGAAAUACCCGGGCUUAACUUGGGUGCUGCAUUUCAAACUGGAUAUCUAGAGUGCGGGAGAGGAGAAUGGAAUUCCUAGUGUAGCGGUGAAAUGCGUAGAGAUUAGGAAGAACACCAGUGGCGAAGGCGAUUCUCUGGACCGUAACUGACGCUGAGGCAUGAAAGCGUGGGUAGCAAACAGGAUUAGAUACCCCAGUAGUC